UACCGGCGUCCGGUUGUUGUUACGCUACGAGCGGCUCGCGUAAUUUUCUCGUGCAAGCUUGCUGAUUUACGUGCGAUGUGCUUACAAUACAUUACGAUGUUUCACGAGAAUCCCUAAUAUAAUUAUCUUGAGUCAACAAUGACAUCAAACCCGGAGUGUCAGCGACGCACGGGGAGUCGGAGACGUGGAGGGUGCAUGAAAACCGACCAAUCGCGCAAUAAGCUGGCAAGAAUAAAAAGUGAAGAAGAAAAAAAAAUGGCGCAGGCUCCGAAUGCUUCUGGUACCUACCCACACAUACAGGUUCGCGGCUGCACACGGAUCCUCAGAGGAGUAAUGGCCGCCGCCGUGAGAAAGAGGACAGGCCAUACGAAAUGGAAUGAAGCGAGGUGGAGGAAGUGAGAAGAAGAAUGAAGAAGACACAGAAGAAUACAGUAGGGGAUGAAGAACGCCCUUCAUGAUUUUUAAGGAGUCUUUCUUGGGACGAGGAUCCUUUUUCUUCGACUUUUCGCCUCGCUAUCGUUUUGACUUUUACGAGGACUUCGAUUAUACGACCGUCGAUAUCGAUCAUCGAAUACUUCUAAGAUUCACAUAAAUUCUAAUCGCCUUUAUCUCAUUUGGAUUUCUGCGAUAGCACAUGCCACGUCUGAUAAUCAGAUCUUCGGUUUAAUUAGACGUCAAGUGGCUCUCUUUAGCGGCACGAAGACGGCUCUAUUAUUUGUCUCUUGCUUAUCGUACAAUCGUGAUAGAGAAAGAGAAAAAUAAUAAUACAGGGGUGAGGCAGUCUCUCUGAAAAUCUUUGGUUUAAGACUAAUCCUACUGUCUCCCUUAAUAUCGCUAAUAACCCGAAAUCUUUAUAGCCAUAAUUCCCGCCAAUUGACGUAAUAGAAUUCUUAUUUAUCAAAACUUUUUUUUUUCUUCACAAAAUAACGCGUACACGUGUCGCGCACUGUUACGACCAAGCAAUCCAUGAGAGGCGGUACUUUUUUGAAAUUAUUACAUAACUUAAAAAAAACCUUACCGAAUUAAUGGCUGUCAGCAGUACUUUCCAUUCGAAAUUGUAUACCGAAAUUCCACUUACUCGCAAAUUCCUUCGUAAUUCCGCCGAGUAAGAAAUUUAAAAAAAAAAGAUUCUUCAGUCGUAUCAGUCGCAUGAUAACAGUCAUCAGUAUCUGAUCUGAUCUUAAAACUCUAAAUCUCCAUUUUACCCUAUAAUCAUUGCGUUAAUAUUGCCACCCCUAUUUCACUGAAGAACGAUCCAAAUAUAGUCAUGACUUACAACAUUUCAAAACAAGAGGGAGAGAGGGGAUGAUAAAUAUUUUUUGUAAUUCCACAGUAAAAAAACGUCUCGGCGCAUUAAGCCGAUUAGAGGAUGAACAAAAAAAAAGAUAUGAUAACAUACCGCCAAUAGAAUCAGCUUUAAUUUAUAAAUCGUUAUCAUCAUUGUCGUUAAGCAUUAAAAGCAUAAACACCUGUGACUAUAAAAAAAUAAUUUUGGUACACAAAAAUCUGAAUAAAUCGCUACCAUUAAUACACAGUGUAACUAAACAAUAAUUUAUGGUAUUCCAUCUUUAACCAAUCCGUGUAAUUUGUAGUGGCUCAUCCAAAAAUAAUUGACAGUCACAAAAACAGUUGUCGACUUCAGUCAAAAUCCAGACGUAUAUUCCGUCAUCACUACAUAGUAUACAUAUACACACACUUGUAAAAGAUUGAAAUUCCCAUAGGGACUAGCAGUUAAUAACGCCCCCCCCCCCUCCUUCCCCUCCCACAGAAUCAACCAAGAAAAUUUGCAUAGCCAUGAUUUACAUUCACAGCAUUCGAUGGUCCAUUCAUCCGCAGUCAUCGCAUACCCAGUCAUUCAAAAUAUAUCUAUAGAGUAAUCCAAAAAAAAUAUCAUCUCGUUACCCACCCCAUACU